rnacentral:rRNA from 1 species
GACGAACGCUGGCGGCAGGCCUAACACAUGCAAGUCGAGCGAAGCCUUCGGGCUUAGCGGCGGACGGGUGAGUAACGCGUGGGAACGUGCCCUUUGGUACGGAAUAGCCCCGGGAAACUGGGAGUAAUACCGUAUAUGGUCGAGAGACGAAAGCUUUAUCGCCAAAGGAUCGGCCCGCGUUGGAUGAGGUAGUUGGUGGGGUAAUGGCCUACCAAGCCGACGAUCCAUAGCUGGUUUGAGAGGAUGAUCAGCCACACUGGGACUGAGACACGGCCCAGACUCCUACGGGAGGCAGCAGUGGGGAAUCUUAGACAAUGGGGGAGACCCUGAUCUAGCCAUGCGGCGUGAUCGAUGAAGGCCUUAGGGUUGUAAAGAUCUUUCAGUGGGGAAGAUAAUGACGGUACCCACAGAAGAAGCCCCGGCUAACUCCGUGCCAGCCGCCGCGGUAAUAC